AAUAUUGGUCAAUGGAGGGAACUCUGAACCAGCCAUGCCGCGUGCAGGACGAAGGCCCUACGGGUCGUACACUGCUUUUGCCGGGGAACAACCGUCCCGCCGUUUCGGGGCCUGAGGGUACCCGGAGAAUAAGGAUCGGCUAACCCCGUGCCGGCACCCGCGGUACUACGGAUGACCCGAGCGUUAUCCGGAUUUAUUGGGUUUAAAGGGUGCGUAGGCGGCUUUCUAAGUCAGGGGUGAAAUACAGCGGCUCAACCGUUGCAGUGCCUUUGAUACUGGGGGGCUUGAAUGUGGUCGAAGGCGGCGGAAUGGGACAAGUAGCGGUGAAAUGCAUAGAUAUGUCCCAGAACCCCGAUAGCGAAGGCAGCUGCCUAGGCCAUAAUUGACGCUGAUGCACGAAAGCGUGGGGAUCGAACAGG
rnacentral:rRNA from 1 species